ensembl:lncRNA
CUGCACAAAAAAAUCACUGCCAUGAUGCAGGUGGUUGUGAAAUGCGUUGCUAUGAGGUUGCUAAGGUGUGCUGAGUAGUGUUAAAUUCUCCUUUGCACCAUCUCCGACAUUUGUGUGUGACUGUCAUAUUUGUGUUUAAUUAUUCAAAUGAUUAUAAUUUUAUUUGCAUAGAAUUAUAAUUUAGGACAUAGUAAGAUAUAAAGGAUGCUCGUAGUUUUGAUUGGAAUGCAUCACACCUGGUCUGGCGGUCCCUUGCGGACAAAUAAUUCACUGUAUCCAAAGCUCAAAUCAGAUCUGAAAAAUGACUCGUAUGAUCAGAAAUCCACGCAGCUCCUGAACUAUUGUCCACUGAAAAUGGCCAUUUGUCUGAGAUAUAUUCAUCUUUGUAGCUGUAUGGUAUUCUGGGUGGUUGCUAGGGUGUUCUGGGUGGUUGCUAGGGCAUUCUGGGUGGUUGCUAGGGCAUUCUGGUUAGUUUCUUAGGUGGUGGUUGCUAGGGCAUUGUGGGUGGUUGCUAGGUGGAUGCUAAAGUGUUCUGGAUGGUUGCUCUGUAGUUGUUAGGUAGUGGUUAAUAGGGUGUUCUGUGUGGUUGCUAAGGUAUUCUGGGUAGUUGCUAGGGUGUUCUGAAUGGUUGAUUUGGUGGUUGUUAGGUGGUGGUUGCUAGGGCACUCUGGGUGGUUACUAGGUGGAUGCUGAGGUAUUCUGGAUGGUUGCUAUAGGUGGUUGCUGGGGAAUUCUGGGUGGUUGCUAGGGUGUUCUGGGUGGUUGCUAGGGCGUUCUGGGUGGUGGCUACAGGAUUCUGGGUAGUUGCUAGGGUCUUCUGGUUAGUUGCUUAGGUGGUGGUUGCUAGGGCAUUGUGGGUGGUUGCUAGGGCAUUCUGGGUGGUUGCUGGGUCUUCUGGUUAGUUGCUUAGGUGGUGGUUGCUAGGGCAUUGUGGGUGGUUGCUAGGUGGAUGCUAAAGUGUUCUGGAUGGUUGCUUGGCGGUUGUUAGGUAGUGGUUAAUAGGGUGUUCUGUGUGGUUGCUAAGGUGUUAUGGGUAGUUGCUAGGGUGUUCUGAAUGGUUGAUUUGGUGGUUGUUAGGUGGUGGUUGCUAGGGCACUCUGGGUGGUUACUAGGUGGAUGCUGAGGUAUUCUGGAUGGUUGCUAUAGGUGGUUGCUAGGCCAUUCUGGGUGGUUGCUAGGGCACUAUAGGUGGCUGCUAGUUGGUUGCUUACUCAAAAGAAUAAAAAAAAAAAACAAGAAGAAUAAUUGAAGAAUUAAAAACUAAAAAUUUAAAAACUAUUAAACAAACACAAACUCAUGUGACUGGUUGAGUCAGAAGUCGACACGUUAGGUCACUAAAACAAACAGAUCAGUGAUUUAAAAACAUCACAGAUCCACUGUUUUGUAUUUUUUCAAAAAGUCAAAUGACCAAUGACUGACUUAAACGUUGAUGUUUCCCUCUAAAAAGAGAAAAUGCCGACCACUUUUGCCGACUGGCUGUUUCCCUCCAAAAGAUGGCGGCGCCUUUCUCCGUUUGCC